GUUUUCGUUAUGCGGGCGCGGUCGCAUGCGACCUCCGCACCACCUCCCCCCAUGAAACGCAAAUGCCGUUGUGUUGCCCUCGUGAAACCCUCGUCUCCUCUCUCUCUCUCUCUCUCUCUCUCUCUCUCUCUCUCUCCGCCGCGGCGGUGCCAUGUCGCCACCACCACCACCACCACCGCGACCGCGACCGCCGCCGCCGCCGAGCACGAGGUCGGAGGACGCGCCGCGCGAAAUGGCCGCUUCUUCGGGGUUUCGUUUGGUCUAGGUCUCGCUCGGUUUGGUGCGCGUUGUGUGGAGGGCGCUAGGGUUUCGUAGAUACGGCGUUGGGGGUGUUAGGGUUUUUGUUAUUUUUGUUUGUUUUGGGGGGGUGAGGGGGCGAUGGUGAUGUCGAAGGACAACCUCCGGGGCUUCGCCCUGGCCCUCUCCUCGAGCUUCUUCAUCGGGUCGAGCUUCGUCAUCAAGAAGAUCGGAUUGAGAAAGGCCGCGUUGUCGGGGGUAAGAGCAGGUUCGGGUGGUUACUCAUACUUAAUCGAGCCCCUGUGGUGGCUGGGAAUGAUUACUAUGAUUGUUGGUGAGAUUGCUAAUUUUGCUGCAUACGCAUUUGCUCCCGCAAUACUUGUUACUCCCCUGGGAGCUCUGAGCAUAAUUGUAAGUGCAGUACUUGCACACUUCAUUUUGGGCGAGAAAUUGCACAUUUUUGGUAUCCUCGGCUGCGUUCUCUGCGUUGUGGGCUCUACAACUAUAGUUUUGCAUGCCCCUAAAGAGAGAAACAUCGAGUCGGUGAAGGAAGUGUGGCAUCUCGCAACUGAACCUGGUUUUCUUAUCUAUUCCUGCGUGGCUGCGGUCUUAGUUCUUGUUCUGAUUAUUCGGUUUGUUCCACGCUAUGGGCAAAAGCACAUGGUUAUAUAUAUUGGAAUUUGCUCAUUGAUGGGUUCUCUCACGGUUAUGAGCGUGAAAGCUGUGGGAAUCGCCUUAAAGCUGUCAUUUUCAGGAAUGAAUCAAUUUAUUUAUGUUCAAACUUGGUUUUUCUCAGCUGUUGUCAUUAUCUGUUGUCUCGUGCAACUGAACUACUUAAACAAGGCUUUGGACACAUUUAAUACAGCCGUUGUAUCGCCGGUCUACUUUGUGAUGUUUACCAUUCUCACUAUUUUUGCUAGCAUGAUCAUGUUUAAGGAAUGGGACUCGCAGAAUGCGACACAGAUCGUUACAGAACUUUGUGGCUUUGUUACCAUCCUCUCGGGAACUUUCCUUCUACACAAGACAAAGGAUAUGGGGAACGAUUCUCCAAAUACUGAGACAGCCGUUCUCACAGAAUCGGAGCUUCAAAACCAAUAAAGAUAGUGUUUCUUCACUUGCUUUUCAUCCAUUGGUCGUUUUCGCGAUCUACAGAGCCUACCGUUCACCGUGACUUCUCAACACUUCGAUAUAAUAGAAUUCAUUGGACCUUUGUUUCACAAGGGCUUCUAGGUCUGAAUUCCACUUCCUGGCUCAUAUACUGCUGGAAAAUAAGAUGUUGGUUCCUCCAAUUCACGGAAUUAUUUUUACGACAUGAGACUGCAGAGACUUCGAAAGAUUAUAGAUUGGAACACACUAAACACAUUCUUUGUUUUUAUUAUUAAAGUUUCGAAUGGGUAAAUCGCAUCUGCGGUUCGCAAACUUUCAAAACACUGAGGUCGAAGUGGAGUGCGAGACCAUCAUUUCCCGUUAACUCGAGUGGUAGUGAGGUUGAUGCUCCUACGACGUAAGCUUACGUGGUGGUCGCAUCAGCUUUGCUGUCGCUCAACUUAAAAGGAAUUUGAGAUGUCCCUAAAUGAAGCCACUAAUAGAUAGUAUUACUAGCUUGAUUUAUACUACCCCUUAGAGCUUGUUUGGAUGUCGGAAACAUAACUAAACCUAACGCGACUUAUUAGUUUU